UUUCCGUAGGUGAACCUGCGGGAGGAUCAUUAACUAGUAAGGGUCAUUCUGGCCCGACCUCUAACCCUUUGUUUAAUUACUAUGUUGCUUUGGAGGGCCUGUUUCACGCCCGCCUGAAGUCCUCGGACUUCUCGCCCGUGCCCGACAAUAGCCUUUUACAAACUCUUGAUCAAUUGUGAUGUCUUAGUAAUAAAUUUAAUAGUUAAAACUUUCAACAACGGAUCUCUUGGUUCUG
rnacentral:misc_RNA from 1 species